AUUAGCUAGUUGGUAGGGUAAUGGCCUACCAAGGCAACGAUGAGUAGCUGGUCUGAGAGGAUGAUCAGCCACACUGGAACUGAAACACGGUCCAGACUCCUACGGGAGGCAGCAGUGGGGAAUAUUGCGCAAUGGGCGAAAGCCUGACGCAGCAACGCCGUGUGAGGGAUGAAGGCUUUCGGGUCGUAAACCUCUGUCAGAAGGGAAGAACGGGCAUUGGUCUAAUAGGCCUUUGUUUUGACGGUACCUUCAGAGGAAGCACCGGCUAACUCCGUGCCAGCAGCCGCGGUAAUACGGAGGGUGCAAGCGUUAUUCGGAAUUACUGGGCGUAAAGCGCACGUAGGCCGCUUUGUAAGUCAGGGGUGAAAUCCCACGGCUCAACCGUGGAACUGCCCUUGAAACUGCGAAGCUUGAAUCCUGGAGAGGGUGGCGGAAUUCCUGGUGUAGGAGUGAAAUCCGUAGAUAUCAGGAGGAACACCGGUGGCGAAGGCGGCCACCUGGACAGGUAUUGACGCUGAGGUGCGAAAGUGUGGGGAGCAAACAGGAUUAGAUACCCUGGUAGUCCACACCGUAAAC
rnacentral:rRNA from 1 species